GCUGGCGGCAUGCCUCAUACAUGCAAGUCGAACGAGGUCUUCGGACCUAGUGGCGCACGGGUGAGUAACAUGUGGGAAUCUGCCUGAAGGUUCGGAAUAACUGCGGGAAACUGUAGCUAAUACCGGAUGUGUCUGCAAAGAGAAAGAUUUAUCGCCUUCAGAUGAGCCCGCACUAGAUUAGCUAGUUGGUGAGGUAAUUGCUCCACCAAGGCUACGAUCUAUAGCUGAUUUGAGAGGAUGAUCAGCCACACUGGGACUGAGACACGGCCCAGACUCCUACGGGAGGCAGCAGUAGGGAAUAUUGGACAAUGGGGGAAACCCUGAUCCAGCAAUGCCGCGUGAGUGAAGAAGGCCUUCGGGUUGUAAAACUCUUUCAUCAAUGAUGAUAAUGACAUUAGUUGAAGAAGAAGCUCCGGCUAACUUCGUGCCAGCAGCCGCGGUAAUACGAAGGGGGCUAGCGUUGUUCGGAAUCACUGGGCGUAAAGCGUAUGUAGGCGGAUCAAAAAGUUAGAUGUGAAAUCCCUGGGCUCAACCCAGGAACUGCAUUUAAAACUAGUGAUCUAGAAUUUGGUAGGGGUUAGUAGAAUUUCCAGUGUAGAGGUGAAAUUCGUAGAUAUUGGAAAGAAUACCAGUGGCGAAGGCGACUAACUGGGCCAUUUUUGACGCUGAGAUACGAAAGCGUGGGUAGCAAACAGGAUUAGAUACCCUGGUAGUCCACGCAGUAAACGAUGAGUGCUAGUCGCUGGGACAAUAGUUUCAGUGUCGAAGCUAACGCAUUAAGCACUCCGCCU
rnacentral:rRNA from 1 species